GGUUCAAAGUGAACAAACAAAACUAUUUCUGCUCUGACUUUUGACUUUUAUUUCAAAACUUUAAAUCAUCAAAUUAAAAUGAAUUAGUGUAAUAAAAAGUUAAAAAUUGUCUGAUACCCCUUACAAGAUUAAAAGUAAAUAGUCUAAAAAGAUUCAGAAAAAAAAAAUAGAUCCUAUGAAGAAGAAAAAGCUUUUAUCUAUCACUGAGGCAUACCUACACCUCUGACCCAUGAAUUUUGAUUUCUGACAAGAACAAUCUUAAAUUUAAACAAUUUGUCAAAUCUCAUUUUUUUACUCACUUUUUAUGAUAUUGAUAAUUUAUUAUUGAUAGUUUCAUAGUUCAGGUCAAAUCCACAUGAUUUACACACAAACAUUGCAUUAUUAUCUUCAAAGGUGGCAUGUUGACAUUGGUUCACAACAGCAGGUAACAGGAUACAUCUUUAGCGACGGUAGACAGUAGAACGUUUAUCCCUUUUUGAAACUUGAGAGGGUAAAACGAGUUAAGUAGCACACCGUUUAUAAAACCUUUCCCUAACAUCUCAACUUCAGCUUCUCCAACAUUUUAGCUCGCCAGCUGGCUAACCAUAGCUGUGAAUUUUGUGACGCAAACCCAUUAGGACAAACCAAUUUUCCAGGGAGCCCAGAUGACAUUUAAGUGAGUUUUUACCACCAUUUGUGAAAUAUAAUGGUGUUAGAACUCUACUAAAUCUAGUUUAAUAUUUACUGGUCAAAAUGUGGAGGAACAUCUUGUCAUCUUAUAAAAUGAGACCAAACCUCAAGUCCCUUCCCAGGUCAGGGGGAGGUCAGCAAUGGGAGAGGCAGGGAGUCAAAUUUUAAUGCCUCGUCUUCACUUUCCUAGACUGAGCUCAAGGAAGCGAGUCAACCGGAAAUCCAUUCAUUCCAAUCGGAUUUUCUCUGAUAUCCUAAUAUGUGCCUGCAGAGCAAAAGGCUGCAGUGUGUGGGACCCUCAUGUUGUUGUGUCACAAACGUUAAUGGGGUUAGGGGCAUUGCAAGGAAAUCUGGACUCCACUAAAGAUCACAGUGGGCCCCAACACCACAGUCCAUUUAGGCCUGCUCCACAACCAUACAGUCAGUGAGCUCAUGACCCAUUAAAAGUAUUCAAGAACUAUAACUGUGUAAAACCCUGAAAGUUUGGGAUCAAUUACAACAAGAGAGGCAGCAUGAUAUUUCUAAACAACUCAAGAUGUGAUUGCUGUCAAAACCACUCUAAUGCUGGACUGGCAUUACAUGGCUUUUUAUGGGAUUUAAAGUCUCAGACAAAUUCCAAAGUCAGAAUAAAGUCAUAAGAGUUUUGCUGAAGUUGAUUUGUGCUCCUGUGAUCUCAGUCGUUUGGUACGAGGUGAGCUGAAAGCUCGAUCAGGUUUGAUUUGAGGCAGUCUUUCCCAUUUUGGUAUUCUAAUAAAAUCAAGCCUGUUCAGUGUUGUCA